GACGAACGCUGGCGGCGUGCCUAACACAUGCAAGUCGAACGGAGAACUUAUGGAAUGCGGCUUCGGCCAAAUGAAAUUUGUUCUUAGUGGCGGACGGGUGAGUAACACGUGAGCAACCUGCCUUUCAGAGGGGAAUAACGACUGGAAACGGUCGCUAAUACCGCAUAACGUACAUUUAAGGCAUCUUAGAUGUACCAAAGAUUUUAUCGCUGAAAGAUGGGCUCGCGUCUGAUUAGCUAGUUGGUGAGGUAAUGGCUCACCAAGGCGACGAUCAGUAGCCGGACUGAGAGGUUGAACGGCCACAUUGGGACUGAGACACGGCCCAG
rnacentral:rRNA from 1 species